GCAUCUGUAGCAUAAUGGAUAAUGCGCUUCCCUUCUAAGGAAGAGACUCUGGGUUCGAGUCCCCGCAGAUGCG
rfam:Tritrichomonas foetus strain K scaffold_960, whole genome shotgun sequence.